rnacentral:lncRNA from 1 species
GGGGGGGAGGAUUUUGACGAUGAAUUAAAGCCUAAUCAUUUUAUUACACCAGACUUUUGUGUUAACUAAGAUUAUUUGGGAUCCCUAAACACACUCUCACAAAUUCGGGGGUAUCCCAAGUAUCUCUCCGGAGUUCAGGGUGCACGGGAAUCCUCAUAUGGGUGUAUUAACAAUGUGUGUGUGGUUAAUGAGGUAGGCCAGGAACAGAGGGUCCUGGGAAGGAAUCUCUUCAUCUCCAUUUCUCCACACCUCAUCACCGAUGCUGUCAACAAAGCCCAUGUCGCCGUCAUCAGCAUCUUGCUUUUGCUAUGUUCAGUUUACUUUGGAGGUCUUCAGUAAUUGUCCCCUAAGACAAUGUUAAAGGUCAGCUUCAAAUUUUACGUCCGUUGUUUAAAAAGCGGUGUGACUCCUCUCAUGUUUUCUAAAAGGUUUUCACUCUGUUUCCUCGGAGAUGUUGCUUUCCAACAGCCAGCUUCCCAUCACCUCCGUGUUCUACUUCCAGAACGGCCACGCAUGCGUAGUAAGCGGUGUUCUGAGCAAUAGGCGUUCCCGGGGACCGGAAUCUAGGUCUGAGUGGCCUCCUCUAUGGCUCAGGGACUAGGAAGCAGAGACAACUCGGCAUUUGAGAGAGAUGCUCCUGCAGGGGAUUCAAGUUUAGUUCCAAACACCCAUAUUAGGCAACACACAGCACAAGACUACCUGUGAUUCCAGCUCUGGAGGGCCCACUGCCUGCCAGCUUCCUCAGGGACCCACACACAGAUGCCCACACCCACACUCAGCCAAAUCUUCACCAGACGAUGGCCGAGAGCCAUGCCACUGGAGCAUGCAGUUAUCAGGGAGACAAAGACUCCCGGAUCUUCAACUACAUGACAACGUGAAGACGGAGCAAGAGAAAGAAAGGGCAGAGCCAAGAGGAGCAGAAAGGGAUGGAGAAGAUGGAAAAUGUCAAGGAAAUCAGUAUCAUGGUGCCUUCGCAGAGUGCAGAGCUCCCUCCAUUGGCGGUGCCUGUGAGUCCCAUGGGCUGAACACUGACUGAGGAACCAGAGACUCUUCUAAGGAGGACGCAAGGUACUUGUUACAGGACACCUCCACCCUCCAUGUCCCCUUUCUGUCCAGCUCCCAUCUCGGGUGUGGCUUGAUCAACAUCUAAUCUGCCCUGCCUCGCCAGCUUCAUCUU